GUUGAGGUCUAUCCCGAUGGGGCUUUUCCUGUAGCCUGCACGUCGUUGGAAACGCCUCAUAGAGUAACUCUGUGGUUUUACUUUACUCACAGGACUAUUGUUAGGUCUGUGGGAAGGAACUACAAGACAGUU
rnacentral:snoRNA from 8 species